AGCGAACGCUGGCGGCAGGCCUAACACAUGCAAGUCGAACGGAUCCUUCGGGAUUAGUGGCGGACGGGUGAGUAACACGUGGGAACGUGCCCUUUGGUUCGGAACAACUCAGGGAAACUUGAGCUAAUACCGGAUGUGCCCUUCGGGGGAAAGAUUUAUCGCCAUUGGAGCGGCGCGCGUCUGAUUAGCGAGUUGGUGGGGUAAAGGCCCACCAAGGCGACGAUCAGUAGCUGGUCUGGGAGGAAGAUCAGCCACAUUGGGACGGAGACACGGCCCAAACUCCUACGGGAGGCAGCAGUGGGGAAUCUUGCGCAAUGGGCGAAAGCCUGACGCAGCCAUGCCGCGUGAAUGAUGAAGGUCUUAGGAUUGUAAAAUUCUUUCACCGGGGACGAUAAUGACGGUACCCGGAGAAGAAGCCCCGGCUAACUUCGUGCCAGCCGCCGCCGUAA
rnacentral:rRNA from 1 species